rnacentral:rRNA from 1 species
AUGGCGCCGCAAGGUAGCAUCUCGGUAGCAGCUGCAGCGCUGGUCCUGUUACUAGCGUUGGCGUUGCAGAUCUCGGUCUCGUCACUGUCAGCAGCGGCUGUGGUGGUUCCUCCUCCGCCGCCGGACAACUGCACCCGCAGCUGUGGCAAGGUGGCCGUGCCCUACCCCUUCGGCAUCGGUCCCGGCUGCUACUGGCCGGGCUUCAACCUCACCUGCGUCGACAACACGCUACUGAUCGGCGACGGCACCCUCCGCGUCGACCACAUCUGGGCACACAAUUCCACGGUGCGCGUCCUACGCGGCGGCGACAUCAAAGUGGAGGAGGAGGCCAACGGCACCGGCGCCUUCGGCGGCGGGCUCAGGGACGACGGGCCCUUCACACUGUCCGCCUACACCAACGAGCUCGUGGUGACCGGCUGCAACGUGGUGGCGACGCUGGUGGAGCAGCACACGAACCUGACCCGGAGCGGCUGCGCCUCCAUCUGCACUAACUCCGCGGACAGCAUGCAGUAUCCCAUCAGCCACAAGGCGUGCAGCUUCGGCAAGGGCUGCUGCCAGGAGGAGAUAAUCUCGCCCUUCGAGCGCAUGAACUUCGACGCGCGGCUCAAAUGGUUCGGGCAGAACCGCACGGUGGACGAGAUGUGGAAGACGACGCGCGUGUUUGUGGCGGAGAAGGGGUGGUACGAUAAGCAGCGGCUGGUCCUGGAAGAAGCGACGGAGGUUCCGGUUCAACUGGACUGGGUGGUCGAGGUUGCCGGGGAGCCGGCGGGUCGUCGCCCCGUUCCCGGUGAUGACUGCCCCUCGUAUGUCAACCGCGACGUCUGCAAGAGCAGGAACAGCAACUGCAUGCCGGGACGAGAGAGAGGCUACUCUUGCUCCUGUUACACAGGUCACGACGGCAACCCCUACGUCGCCGGCGACGGUGGAUGCAACGAUGUGGACGAGUGCAAGCGGCCAGAAGAAUACGGCUGUUUCGGCGAGUGCACCAACCUGCCGGGAACGUUCCGCUGCUGGUGCCCUCGGGGAACUCAUGGCAACCACACUGUACCAGGUGGUUGCAUCAAGUCCGCCACAGGUGUAGUUUCAGGUGUUACCAUCGGAAUAGGAGUUGCUAGUGGCGUAGGAGCUAUUCUUUUGAUCCUCAUUGUAUUCGCCUUCACACAAAAGCUUAAGCACCAAAGAAAACAAAUGUUGAAGAAGAAGUUCUUUGAGCAGAAUCGUGGGCGACUAUUGCAACAAUUGGUAUCUCAAAGAGCUGAUAUUGCAGAAAGAAUGAUUAUAUCCUUGGAGGAGCUAGAGAAGGCAACAAACAAUUUUGACAAAACUCGCGAGCUUGGUGGUGGUGGACAUGGUACCGUCUACAAAGGGAUUUUAUCAGACCUCCAUGUUGUAGCUAUCAAGAAACCAAAGAUGGUGAUUCAGAAGGAGAUUGACGAGUUCAUCAAUGAGGUUGCUAUCCUAUCACAAAUAAACCAUAGAAAUGUUGUAAAACUUUAUGGUUGCUGCCUUGAAACAGAAGUACCAAUGUUGGUCUAUGAGUUCAUAUCCAAUGGAACUCUUUACAGUCAUUUGCACACACAUGAAGCAAAAUCAUUGUCAUGGGAUGAUAGGUUGCGAAUAGCAUCUGAGACAGCCAAGUCACUAGCCUAUCUACACAUGACAGUAUCAAUGCCUAUUAUACAUCGAGAUAUCAAGUCUGCUAACAUACUUCUGGAUGAUACUCUAGCAGCAAAGGUAGCAGAUUUUGGAGCAUCAAGAUAUGUUCCGGUGGAUAAAACAGGUGUAACAACCGUAGUACAAGGCACAAGAGGAUAUUUGGACCCUAUGUAUCUUAGCACAGGGAGGCUCACAGAGAAAAGUGAUGUUUACAGCUUUGGUGUCAUGCUUCUAGAGUUGUUAACUACAAAGAAGCCAUUCUCAUAUUUGUCUUCUGAAGGAGAUAGCCUUGUUGGACAUUUUACCACCUUGUUUGCAGAAGGCAAUUUGCCACAGAUACUAGAUCCUCAAGUCAUGGAUGGAGGAGGCCAAGAAGUAGAAGAAGUAGCUAAGCUUGCGUUAGCAUGCCUAAAAUUAACAGCAGAGGGUCGUCCAACAAUGAGACAUGUGGAAUUGACACUGGAAUGUAUUCAAGCAUCCAGGAGGAAUGUUUCAGAUAGUGGGUUGGCUGAGAUAUCUGAGGAGGAUGGUACUGCAAUGAGUGGCCCAAUUCCAGCAAGUUUUUCAAAUAUAAAAGAAUCAAGCAGACAAUAUAGCAUGGAAGAAGAGUUCUUGCUAUCCUCAAGAUAUCCUCGGUAG